rnacentral:tRNA from 1 species
GAGCGUAUAGCUCAGGUGGUGGCGCGCGUGCUUAGCAUGCACGUGGCCCUGGGUUCAAUCCCCAGUACCGCCU